UAUUCUGCCCCACGGGGAAGGAUGAGAAGCUUCGACUAAGGUUCGACUCGAGCGUAGCGAGAGAACGUUGCCGCAGGCAACGGCCCGAAGGGCGAGGCGCUUUAGCGCCGAGUUAUCCUUCCCCCACCGCUG
rnacentral:sRNA from 1 species